GGGCCUGUAGCUCAGUGGUAGAGUGUCUGCUUAGCAUGCAGAAGGUCCCAGGUUCAAUCCCUGGCAUCUCCA